GCGGGUCCGCCCGCCAGCCCGGCCGGAGGCAGCCGAGGCCGCUCGGGCGGCGGCCGCGGGAGCCGGAGCGCAGCGCGUGGAGGAAACGGAGCGGCGGCACUGCCGGGUUGCCCAUGUGCACACCAAGCUGUUCUUGAACAGAAUGCAGGAACCAGGUCCUGCUCCCCAGGCUGGCCUACACUGGCGCAGACAUCCACGAGCUGUCUACAGGCCCUCUGCACACCAGGCUCUCUGUCCCUACCCCAGACCUGAUCCCGUGUCAGAGAACCUCGAGCUGGGACUUGAGAAGCUGGCUUCUUCCAGGGGACGCUUUCAGAAUGGACAUGUUACCAGCUGGAUCAUGCCUGCCUCCCAGAACCUGUUUCUUCCUCUGGAAAAUAAGAACACAACACCUGCCUGCCAGGUGUACGAGGUCUGCACAUACGUAAACAUAAUAAAGGC
rnacentral:lncRNA from 1 species